UACGAAGGGGACUAGCGUUGUUCGGAUUUACUGGGCGUAAAGCGCGCGCAGGCGGAUCGCUAAGUCAGGGGUGAAGUCCCGGGGCUCAACCUCGGAACUGCCUUUGAUACUGCAAAUCUCGAGUCCGGAAGAGGUGAGUGGAAUUCCUAGUGUAGAGGUGAAAUUCGUAGAUAUUAGGAAGAACACCAGUGGCGAAGGCGGCUCACUGGUCCGGUACUGACGCUGAGGUGCGAAAGCGUGGGGAGCAAACAGG
rnacentral:rRNA from 1 species